rnacentral:pre_miRNA from 1 species
UCCGAACUCGAGAUAUGGGAUGAACAAUGAACAGUGUUUGGGCUACAUGAUAGAUUCCGACUUCUCCGUUGUUGCUACCAUUUGAACUCGAAAAUGACACUUUUAAAUCUUGGACUCUUUAUGAAAGUUUUAGGCCUAUAUCUUAGCUUUCCAUA